rnacentral:tRNA from 1 species
GUUUAAAUAGCUUAAAUAGAAGAGCAUAACAUUGAAGAUGUUAGGGUACUGGAUUAGUUUUAAACA